UACGUAGGGUGCGAGCGUUAAUCGGAAUUACUGGGCGUAAAGCGUGCGCAGGCGGUUCGUUGUGUCGGCGGUGAAAGCCCCGGGCUUAACCUGGGAACGGCCGUUGAAACUGGCGAACUGGAGUGUAGCAGAGGGGGGUGGAAUUCCGCGUGUAGCAGUGAAAUGCGUAGAGAUGCGGAGGAACACCGAUGGCGAAGGCAGCCCCCUGGGCUAACACUGACGCUCAGGCACGAAAGCGUGGGGAGCAAACAGG
rnacentral:rRNA from 1 species